AUUGAACGCUGGCGGCAGGCCUAACACAUGCAAGUCGAGCGAGCGGCGGACGGGUGAGUAAUGUCUGGGAAACUGCCUGAUGGAGGGGGAUAACUACUGGAAACGGUAGCUAAUACCGCAUACCCUCGGAUGUGCCCAGAUGGGAGUAGCUAGUAGGUGGGGUAACGGCGCACCUAGGCGAGGAUCCCUAGCUGGUCUGAGAGGAUGACCAGGCACCCUGGAACUGAGACCCGGUCCAGAAUCCUACGUGAGGCAGCAGUGGGGAAUAGUGGAAAAUGGGCGAAAGCCUUAUGCAGCCAUGCCGCGUGUAUGAAGAAGGCCUUAGGGUUGGAAAGCACUUUAAGUUGGGAGGCGUUACCAACAGAAUAAGCACCGGCUAACUUCGUGCCAGCAGCCGCGGUAAUAC
rnacentral:rRNA from 1 species